GUCUUGGUAGCUCAGUUGGUAGAGCAUGAGACCCUUAAUCUCAGGGCCGUGGGUUCAAGCCCCAUGUUGGGCA